GAUGAACGCUGGCGGCGUGCCUAAUACAUGCAAGUCGAGCGAACAGACGCGGAGCUUGCUCCUCUGACGUUAGCGGCGGACGGGUGAGUAACACGUGGAUAACCUACUUAUAAGACUGGGAUAACUUCGGGAAACCGGAGCUAAUACCGGAUAAUAUAUUGAACCGUAUGGUUCAAUAGUGAAAGACGGUUUUGCUGUCUCUUAUAGAUGGAUCCGCGCUGCAUUAGCUAGUUGGUAAGGUAACGGCUUUCCAAGGCAACGAUGCGUAGCCGACCUGUGAGAGUGAUCGGCCACACUGGAGCUGGGACACGGUCCAGACUCCUACGGGAGGCAGCAGUAGGGAAUCUUCCGCAAUGGGCGAAAGCCUGACGGAGCGGCGCCGCGUGAGUGAUGAAGGUCUUCGGAUCGUAAAACUCUGUUAUUAGGGAAGAACAAAUGUGUAAGUAACUGUGCACGUCUUGACGGUACCUAAUCAGAAAGCCACGGCUAACUACGUG
rnacentral:rRNA from 1 species